rnacentral:rRNA from 1 species
GGAAUGAGUACAAUUUAAAAAACCUUAACGAGGAACAAUUGGAGGGCAAGUCUGGUGCCAGCAGCCGCGGUAAUUCCAGCUCCAAUAGUGUAUAUUAAAGUUGCUGCGGUUAAAAAGCUCGUAGUUGGAUUUCGGAGUUGUUAUCUGAACCUUCUCGCCAUAAAAAGUGGGGGGGCUAAGGUAGCAGUAGUUUUCAUCAUAGUCCACCAGGAUACUCUCUUGGUGUGUACUGGGUGUUAACCUCCUUUUUUCUGGUACUUGCUAUCCAGCAAUGGGUAGUUUUGUCCAGAUAGUUUACUUUGAAAAAUUAGAGUGUUCAAAGCAGGCAUUGGCAUCAUGAAUACAUUAGCAUGGGAUAAUAGAAUAUGACAUUGGUCUUAUUUUGUUGGUUUCUAAGGCCAAAGUAAUGAUUGAUAGGGAUAGUUGGGGCCGCUCGUAUUGAGUUGUCAGAGGUGAAAUUCUAGGAUUUACUCAAGACGAACUAAUGCGAAAGCAUUCGGCAAGGAUGUUUUCAUUAAUCAAGAACGAAAGUU